rnacentral:rRNA from 1 species
UUUUGACCUCGGAUCAGGUAGGGAUACCCGCUGAACUUAAGCAUAUCAAUAAGCGGAGGAAAAGAAACCAACAGGGAUUGCCCUAGUAACGGCGAGUGAAGCGGCAACAGCUCAAAUUUGAAAUCUGGCUCUUUUAGAGUCCGAGUUGUAAUUUGCAGAGGGCGCUUUGGCUUUGGCAGCGGUCCAAGUUCCUUGGAACAGGACGUCACAGAGGGUGAGAAUCCCGUACGUGGUCGCUGGCUAUUGCUGUGUAAAGCCCCUUCGACGAGUCGAGUUGUUUGGGAAUGCAGCUCUAAAUGGGAGGUACAUUUCUUCUAAAGCUAAAUAUUGGCCAGAGACCGAUAGCGCACAAGUAGAGUGAUCGAAAGAUGAAAAGCACUUUGGAAAGAGAGUCAAACAGCACGUGAAAUUGUUGAAAGGGAAGCGCUUGCAGCCAGACUUGCUUGCAGUUGCUCAUCCGGGCUUUUGCCCGGUGCACUCUUCUGUAGGCAGGCCAGCAUCAGUUUGGGCGGUGGGAUAAAGGUCUCUGUCACGUACCUCUCUUCGGGGAGGCCUUAUAGGGGAGACGACAUACCACCAGCCUGGACUGAGGUCCGCGCAUCUGCUAGGAUGCUGGCGUAAUGGCUGUAAGCGGC